rnacentral:rRNA from 1 species
UACAGAGGGUGCGAGCGUUGUUCGGAAUUAUUGGGCGUAAAGGGCGCGUAGGCGGGUGCUCAAGUCUGUGGUGAAAUCCUCCGGCUCAACCGGAGAACUGCCAUGGAUACUGGGCGUCUCGAGUGUGGUAGGGGGUAUGCGGAACUAUCGGUGGAGCGGUGAAAUGCGUUGAUAUCGAUAGGAACUCCGGUGGCGAAGGCGGCAUACUGGACCACCACUGACGCUGAUGCGCGAAAGCCAGGGGAGCAAACGGG